rnacentral:rRNA from 1 species
GUCUACAACCACCAUGCCACCCUGAAAGAGUCUGAUCUUGGAAGCUAAGCGGGGUCGGGUCUGGUUAGUACUUGGAUGGGAGACCACCUAGGAAGACUAGGUGCUGUAGGUA